UGCAAGUCGAGCGGUAAGGCCCCUUCGGGGGUACACGAGCGGCGAACGGGAGAGUAACGCGUGGGUAACCUACCCAGAAGUGGGGGAUAGCCUCGGGAAACCGGGGGUAAUACCGCAUGUACUUCAGUCGACUCAGGUCGACUUUCGAAAAGGCGGGGAUCCUUCGGGACCUGUCGCUUCUGGAUGGGCCCGCGUCCGAUUAGCUUGUUGGUGGGGUAAUGGCCUACCAAGGCUUCGAUCGGUAGCCGGCCUGAGAGGGUGAACGGCCUCAUUGGGACUGAGACACGGCCCAGACUCCUACGGGAGGCAGCAGUGGGGAAUUUUGGGCAAUGGGCGAAAGCCUGACCCAGCGACGCCGCGUGGAGGAUGAAGGCCUUCGGGUUGUAAACUCCUGUCAGGUGGGAAGAAAUGCCCGUCGGUCAAUAUCCGACGGGAGUUGACGGUACCACCAAAGGAAGCCCCGGCUAACUCCGUGCCAGCAGCCGCGGUAAUACGGAGGGGGCAAGCGUUAUUCGGAUUUACUGGGCGUAAAGCGCACGUAGGCGGCAUGGCAAGUCGCAGGUGAAAGCCCUCGGCUCAACCGAGGAACUGCCUGCGAAACUGCUUUGCUUUGAGUCCG
rnacentral:rRNA from 1 species